GAUGAACGCUAGCGGGAGGCUUAAUACAUGCAAGUCGUGCGGUAAGCAGUAGCAAUACUGCCUAGAGCGGCGUACGGGUGAGUAACACGUAUACAAUCUGCCCUUAUCAGGGAGAUAGCCCUCCGAAAGGGGGAUUAAUAUCCCAUAACAUAAUUUGCUGGCAUCAGCGGAUUAUUAAAGCUCCGGCGGAUAAGGAUGAGUAUGCGUCCCAUUAGCUUGNGGUGAGGUAACGGCUCACCAAGGCAACGAUGGGUAGCUGGUCUGAGAGGAUGAUCAGCCACACGGGCACUGAGACACGGGCCUGACUCCUACGGGA
rnacentral:rRNA from 1 species